rnacentral:rRNA from 1 species
UCUCGGCAAAUUAUCCUCAUCUGUUCGACGACAAGAGGAACCACUUUUUGUAUAAAUAACUCCAUUGGCAAUAUUUUCUAAUUAUUCUCUUAACUGUGGUGGCACAACAAUCGGAAGCCCCGACUGUUUACUAAAAACACAACUAUCUGCAAUGAUGUAAAUCAUAGUAUAGGUAGUGAGGUUUGCCCGAUGCCAUUAAUAUAAGAGAGGUAAUGGGUAACUGUUACUUAUCGAAAGUCUGGUUAAUAGCGGUCUUAACUAUGAGGAUCCAAAGGUAGCAAAAUAAAUUGGCCAUUAAAUGUGGUCCGGUAUCAAUAAUUUAACGAUGGCUUCACUGUCUCUACAACUUGCUCACUAUG